GACGAACGCUGGCGGCGUGCUUAACACAUGCAAGUCGAACGGAAAGGCCCUGCUUUUGUGGGGUGCUCGAGUGGCGAACGGGUGAGUAACACGUGAGUAAACUGCCCUUGACUUUGGGAUAACUUCAGGAAACUGGGGCUAAUACCGGAUAGGAGCUCCUGCUGCAUGGUGGGGGUUGGAAAGUUUCGGCGGUUGGGGAUGGACUCGCGGCUUAUCAGCUUGUUGGUGGGGUAGUGGCUUACCAAGGCUUUGACGGGUAGCCGGCCUGAGAGGGUGACCGGCGACAUUGCGACUGCGAGACGGCCCAGACGCCUACGGGAGGCAGCAGGCGGGAAUAUUGCGGAACGGGGGGAAGUCUGAUGCAGCGAUGCCGCGUGCGGGAUGCCGGCCUUCGGGUUGUAAACCGCUUUCGCCUGUGACGAAGCGGGAGUGACGGUAAUGGGUAAAGAAGCACCGGCUAACUACGUG
rnacentral:rRNA from 1 species